rnacentral:rRNA from 1 species
UACGGAGGAGGCAAGCGUUAUCCGGAAUUAUUGGGCGUAAAGCGUCCGUAGGUGGUUGGCCAAGUCUGCUGUCAAAGGGUGGGGCUUAACCUCAUAAAGGCAGUGGAAACUGGCGAGCUAGAGUGCGGUAGGGGCAGGGGGAAUUCCCAGUGUAGCGGUGAAGUGCGUAGAGAUUGGGAAGAACAUCGGUGGCGAAAGCGCCCUGCUGGGCCUGCACUGACACUGAGGGAAGAAAGCUAGGGGAGCGAAAGGG